rnacentral:rRNA from 1 species
AGGACGAACGCUGGCGGCGCGCCUAAUACAUGCAAGUCGAACGGCUAGUCUUCGGAUUAGCAGUGGCGGACGGGUGAGUAACACGUGGGUGAUCUGCCCUGUAGUGGGGAAUAACUCUGGGAAACCAGGGCUAAUACCGCAUACGCUUGGCUCUUCGUUGAGCUAAGUAAAGAUUAAUCGCUACAGGAGGAGCCUGCGGCGGAUUAGCUAGUCGGUGGGGUAACGGCUUACCGAGGCAACGAUCCGUAGCUGGUCUGAGAGGACGACCAGCCACACUGGGACUGAGACACGGCCCAGACUCCUACGGGAGGCAGCAGUAAGGAAUAUUCCACAAUGGGCGCAA